rnacentral:rRNA from 1 species
GUUGACCUCGGAUCAGGUAGGAAUACCCGCUGAACUUAAGCAUAUCAAUAAAGCGGAGGAA